UGACUUUCGGAUUCUCUUGAGGCUGGUUGCUGGCCACAGGCACCAGGAAAGCAGGGUGAGGGCCCAAUGAUACCACCUUUUCUUGGGCCCCGUAAUUCCAUUUGGCGGUGGGAGCAUUUUCUCCCAGCCUUGCCUGAAGACUUGCAUGUCUUCUGCGAUAAAUGCCAUAUCGUAUAAGGUGCUCCUGAAUAAUUGGGUGCAGCUGAGAUUUUCCUACAGCGAACCAUCGAGCCAAGGCCACUGGGGAAACCAGCUAACUAGACACAGACCAGAUGUGAAUCCUCCGUGAUUGGAAGUACCAUCUUCUCUCCUCUGCAGAAAUCGGUGUCUUUAAUUUUAGAAGGUUUGCUUAGAAGGAAGUCCACCAACAAGUUCUUGCCUUUUUAAAAUUCCUGGCUUAGGUGAAUAUUUUUAAAGGCUCUUGUUUGAAUAAAAAGAGGGGAGUGAACACCAUGUUUCAGCUCUGGAAUGGAAGACGGUGUGAGUACGGAGCUGGCUAGAGUGCGGAGCUGGCUGCUGGGCUUCUAUAACGGGCGCCGUGGGCACUCGGGUGCCGUUUCGGAAUUCUUUCUUGGGAUAAUGCCAUUUUAAGGAGCCUUUCCAAAUGGAGACAAGGCUUUCUGAGGGAGAAGGAUGUUUUCUGUGGGUUGGGCUUGGGGGGAGGGAGGAGGGAAGCUACAUGUUACUUCGUCUGUAGUAGUGUGGAACGGUGUUGUUCCAGAGUGCCAGUGUAGAGGUAUUUGCAAACUUGUCUAGAAAUGAGAGCAUGUUUGUUUUUUGUUUUUUUGUUCGUUUGUUUGUUUUGGGGUUUGUUUGUGUGUUUUUUUUAGCCCCUUGUGAGUCUAAAUCUAAAUGAACAUUCUUGCUCAUCCAUAAAUAACUUCAAGCCUCAACAUCAGAAUAGUGUUGGAAUGCUCUCUCUCAUCCUGGCAUCUCCGACAGGACCAGGUUCAUUACAUUUCCUUCCAUAACCAUGAACCUGUGUUGGCAUCACUCAUCUUGCCUUUGUCCAGCCCUGUCUUUGGGUGAGGCCAGAGUUCCCACUUCCUGUUUUCAGAAAAGCCAGAGGCGCCCUCCAUCCCUGGGAGCUGCUUGGCUGAGUAGGUAGGGGUGAGGUGAGAGGGGUUGGGGUUCCUGGACAGUGGACCUAUUUAGAGAUGGCACAGUUGGCUGUUCCCACUUUUUCCUCGAUUCCUGGAAGUUGCUCUAUGUUCUGUGAUGAGUGAGGUCCUUUGAGUCCUGCAGCUGAGAGAGCUGUGGGUUCCAACCCCCGAUCGACAUGGGGCGGGCGGGCGAGGCUGUUGCAGGCAGAGGGAAGUAACCCGGAACAGACUCACUUUCUAUAGGACAAGUGUACAUUUGCCAAAACCUGUGUAUCGUGCUUUCCCAGACUGGAUUCCAACCGCAUGGACAGUCGGAGCUCAGGACCAGCCCCAGACAUGUCUUUCUCCCUCUUUCCAAUUCAAAUCUGUCCCCAUAUCAGACUGCUGGUUAUAAAGCCAUUUCUUUGUAGUUGAUAACAGCGUGAGUCCCAGAACCCUCAGAUAAGAGGAAAUUGGCUUGAUUGGAAUGGGGGAUUUUUUUUUUUUUGUCAUAAUUCUGCCAUCAGAAGCCUCUUUGAUGACUCGAAAUAACUCUACAACGAAGACCCCACCACAGGGUCUGCUCAAAUGGCCAGGUGGAUUUCAAUCGGCAUCUCUCCCAUGAAGUGAUUUCUGGUAAUGCAAGAUUUCUGUAACGGCCAGAAAGUAUUGCCACUUUGACGGAUCCUAUCAACUGUGCUGUCGGCUACCUUGGAUCUUUUCUAGAGACCAAGGGAUGCAGUGCUCCCUUCUGGAAUCUUGUGUGACCCAAGGAUGUUUGUGGAGCACCAAGGGUAACGACUUGACUUCCCCAUGGAGAAGUCCUAGGCUGAGGCCGCUGUGAGCAGGUGGCUGGGAGCUCAUGGCUUUAGUCAUCCCUCCCGAAGCCAGUUGCUCAGGUGCUCCUCCUGGCUGGAUUCCAGAGUUUUCAACAAGGUUGCAAAGCCAGGAGAGAAAAUUUGAAAAAUCUGUGGGCAGAGGGAGGUAGGAUGAUGGUUGAUUCGGAUGGGAGUUGGCCACCAAGCCCAUAGUAUCAAAAUGGUGGUUCACCUUGGCUGGCUGUCGGCAUGGGCUGGGGAGUUCUGAAAACCUUAUUACCAGGCUAUCCCGGGGCAAUGAAACCAGGAUUUCUGGAGCUGGGACCCAGGUGUCCGUGUGCUUCAAAACUCCCUAAAGGCUUCCUUUCCAUGUGUGGCCAAGGUAGGGAAGACCUCCUUGCUUUCUGGAGGGCUAGGUGCUGUUGGAGGCGGAUCUUAAUAACCCAGAGCUAGCUGGUCUUACAGAAACCACAGCCAAGGGUUUGUCACUGGCUCAGCAGGUCUCACCGCCAGUCCCAGCCCGGCUGAGGGACAAGAUGGUUUCUCUGAGGAGCUCAAGGAGCAUGCGAUCUCUCAAACAGGGCACCUACCAUGCUCCUCCAAAGGCAGCUGAUCUAUGGAGAAUUGUGAGGGAACUGAAUACAGUGUCUGGAGGUUGGGAUUUUUCCUUCAGUGUUCCUUGUCUAGCAAGAAAGAUGGGGGAGUUUCACCUCUUGAAGAUACCCCUGCCCCCCCAGGAGCACCCUGCCCAUCCUUAGAGCUAAUGAGUCAUAUGAGGAAGAGGCUUCUUCAAGACAGAGCAAUGCAAUACUUGUAACUUUUGUAAAUAGCCCCAUCUUUCAGAGUGCUGUCCUUUCUACAUUUGAUAUGCUUGUAUUUCUGUAGGAUGUAUAUAGUUUAGGGGAUUUUGUUUGUUUGUUUCAUUUUGUUUUUUAGAACAGUCGACAUGUCUUUUUAUUUAUUGCUUGAAAAAAGAUCAUUUGAAGAAAAAUAAAUACGUUUUCA
rnacentral:lncRNA from 1 species